rnacentral:rRNA from 1 species
UUCGGUGAUAGCAUAGGUAUUUAAAAUUAAAUAUCAGUUCUCAAUGGAUCACUGAAGUUAAGAAACUUCGCCCGUGAUUGGUAUCCGGAUGGGUGACCAUCAGGAAAGUUGCGUGCUGCCGGCU